GUGAAUCAUCGAAUUUUUGAACGCAAAUUGCACUCUCUGCGUAUAGUAUGCCGUUUUGAUGUUCAGCCUAAAAAAUAUCGACAUCGUUGCUGGUUCGCGGUGUCGUGUGUCGGAAAUUGGGUUAUCGUAAAUCUUUGGUUUAAGCGACUUAAAUUUUUCUUUUCGAUUCCAUUAACGUGUCCGAUAUUUAUUUCUUUACACUUUGUA
rnacentral:misc_RNA from 1 species